AGAGUUUGAUCCUGGCUCAGGAUGAACGCUAGCGGCAGGCCUAAUACAUGCAAGUCGAACGGAGGUAGCCCUCGGGCUGCCUUAGUGGCAAACGGGUGCGUAACGCGUAAGCAACCUGCCCACAACCGGGGGAUAGCCUGGCGAAAGCCGUGGUAAACCCCCAUAAUUCCCUUGUCCCACCUGGGGUGGGGGGUAAACAUUGAUGGGUUGUGGAGGGGCUUGCGUCUGAUUAGGUAGUUGGCGGGGUAGUGGCCCACCAAGCCAUUGAUCAGUAGGGGUUCUGAGAGGAUUGGCCCCCACAUGGGUACUGAGAUACGGACCCAACUCCUACGGGAGGCAGCAGUAGGGAAUAUUGGGCAAUGGGCGCAAGCCUGACCCAGCCAUGCCGCGUGGAGGAUGAAGGCGCUCAGCGUCGUAAACUCCUUUUAUCUACGAAGAACGUGAUCCUUGCGAGGGUACUUGACGGUAGUAGAGGAAUAAGCACCGGCUAACUCCGUGCCAGCAGCCGCGGUAAUACGGAGGGUGCAAGCGUUGCCCGGAUUUAUUGGGUUUAAAGGGUGCGUANGUGGCGUCUUAAGUCUGGUGUGAAAGCAGGCAGCUCAACCGUGUGAUGUGGCUGGAAACUGGGGCGCCUGAAUGAGUUGGCGGUACCCGGAACGGGUAUGUACCGGUGGAAUGCAUAGAUUUGACCCGGANCACCGAUUGCGAAGGCAGGGCUA
rnacentral:rRNA from 1 species